rnacentral:lncRNA from 10 species
UUCAAUGAGAGAACAUGCUCUCUUGUGAGUGCCUCUUCCACCAGGGAGUUUUGAUGGGUUUCAGGCCUGGGUUAAUCGUGUGACCUUGAACAAAUCAUUGCAGGGCUCUCAAUCCCAAAUACUUAUCUCCAAAAUGGAGAAAUGAAUUCUUACUUCAAUUGUAGGAUUUGAAUAUUAAAGAGGACACAUGCAAAUGCACUAUGUAAAUUGUAACAUGUUAUGAAUUUAGUAGCACUGUUAUUAUUUUCCAUGCAUGAGACCUUAAGUUUCCAAGCUGACGAGACAAAUGACAUCCUAGAUUGGAUGCCUGUUACUGCACCAGCUUUUGAUGAAGAUGAGACAAGGGCAAAGCUAUUUAUGAGGGCAAACCAGGUGCCAAAUAUUGUGUGAAAUAAGUCACUUCAUCCUUACAGCAACCCUUAGGGGAUAGGCAUUAUAACCUCCAUUUUACGGAUGAAUUGUUGUAUAUUGGAGAGUCUAGCACAGUCCUAGCACAUAGUAGGUGCUCAAUAAACGACAGCUGAUACUAAACUGGGUCUCCAUUGGGCCCUAAAGUUUCUGCUUCAAUUCUACAUUAGGCCUAUUCCAUUACAUAAAGCAAAUUUUCAAAGGGCCAUGAUUUGAAUCAAAUGAUUCUCUUCUGUUGCUUUCUGUGGAGCUCAUUUAAAACACUAAGUACCUGCUUUGACUACAGCUCAUAACCAGGCACAAGCCUCUGCUGCUGGCUGCCCCGUCCAUGAAGUGGAUGAAUAAACAGAACCAGGGAUCUUUGUAUCAGGGUAGCUUGAUCAUCCAUGAAGGCUCUACGGAAGAAGAAUGAUGCCUAUACCAGCCUCCAGACGCAUUCCUCAAGCUUCCCUUUCUGUAAGCACAGGAGAGGAAGGGCCGCAGGGAGGUCCUUCCAACGCCUGCGCUUGAGACAAAAUCUCACUGUGUUACCCAGGCCGCUCAAGUACAUUUAAUUUCAUUGAUAAAAGGAAUUUCUGAAAAGAAGACUGUGUAGACUAUGGCUUGGAAAGAGCCAGAAUUAUCCUCAAAGGACAUGUGUCCUGGGGCUUCUGGAGGCUGAGACAGGAGAUGAGGUCUCAUGCACUGGAGCAAAGAACCCUCUCAAAACUCCGUCUGUGUGUACUGUCUACAAAAGUGCUGUGCAAAAUGACAUGGGAAUAAGAGGUAGAGAGUUAUAAGUGUAAUGAUCUCAUGUUUGGAGAACCAUCUGUGGAUCUCAAGCCACCCUUAUCAGCACUUUAAAAUCUGGGUUUAAAACAUGUGGGACCAGCCAGGCGCGGUGGCUCACGCCUAUAAUCUCAGCACUUUGGGAGGCCGAGGCGGGUGGAUCACGAGGUCAGGAGAUUGAGACCAUCCUGGCUAACACGGUGAAACCCUGUCUCUACUAAAAGUACAAAAAAUUAGCCGGGCGUACAAAAAAUUAGUACAGGCGGGCGCCUGUAGUCCCAGCUACUCGGGAGGCUGAGGCAGGAGAAUGGCGUCAACCCGGGAGCAGGAGCUUGCAGUGAGCCGAGAUC